CCGGGUGACCAUAUUGGUGGGGCCACACCUGAAUCCAUUCCGAACUCAGAAGUUAAGCCCACUAAGCCGAUGGUACUGUUUCAGGCGGGAGAGUAGGUUGUUGCCCGGU
rnacentral:rRNA from 1 species